UCAACCAUGAUCCAGAAGCAGAUGAUCCUCCUUCUAAAAUACUGUCAAAAGGCCAACAGUACCCUAACACUGUAUCACAAUGCCUAUACAUCAUUCACCUUGCUUCAUCUCAUCACACAGCCAUUUUAUAAUCUCACACCAUCACAGGAAGACAAAGGGUAUUAUGUUCAUCAUAAUAGUACAAUCCAAGUACCAUCCAUCACUCCCAGGUGGAAGAGCUGCUGAAACUACCAGGAAGGCGAGCAGUAACUGGAGGCUGAGACUGACAAGAGUCCUGGGCUCUGCCAGGUUUCAGGACUAAGAACUGCCCGAAGACUUUCUUUUCUGGAGAAGGAACCACGACAGAAAGUCAUGGGGCAAGGAUGCCAACAAGUUCCUGAGAAAAACUAGAUUUUCAAAAGGAAGGAACUCACUCACAUGACUAUUCCUGGUGUCCUUGACAAACCUCAGGUUGAGAAUGAUCAAAGGAAAAAAAUGAAACAAGACAGCACAAUUAUACAUCACCAAACCAUGCAGACAAGAACAAAAGCUUAGGAAAUAAUGAAGCCACAAGAUGAAGCUGGCCUAGUGAAUAACCUUUAUGGAACAAACUGAUACCAUUUUAAGCCAGCAGGACUUUGGCUUAUGAGAAAUAAACUUGCCUAUUUCUGCCACUA